CAACUCGACUACAUGAAGCUGGAAUCGCUAGUAAUCGCGGAUCAGAAUGCCGCGGUGAAUACGUUCCCGGGUCUUGUACACACCGCCCGUCACACCAUGGGAGUCAGUAACGCCCGAAGCCGGUGACCCAACCUAAUCAGGAGGGAGCCGUCGAAGGCGGGACGGAUGACUGGGGUGAAGUCGUAACAAGGUACC
rnacentral:rRNA from 1 species